GCAAACAUGGCCUCUGCCAUCCCGGUCUGUGAGCGCCCCUUCUUACACCAAGGUCAGUUGCUAACCAAUGAGCUGCUGGGGGCCUCCUUCUCCCACUCCCACUGCACUGUGUCCAGAGUGGCCAGCACCAGCCCCAGGUGUCAGGGGUCAGUGCAUUUGCCUCAGGGGGACUGGCAGAGUGGGCGCAUCCUGAAGGGCUGUGCUGGAAUCAGCCCAUAGUCUUUGCGUGUCCCAUGGGGCAGGGCCAAAGGAAGCAGUCAGCAAGUGCCAUCCACCCCAGCUUUUCUCUCCCUGGGGACUGCUGGACUGAGGGUCCAGGUGGCCCAGCUCCAAAGGCUGUUGCUGGCCAGACCUGCCCACCUCCCCUCUGACCUGCAGGCACUUGCCUUUUCAGAGUCAUAUUUGAAUCCUACUCUUCACAUCAGGGUUCAGGCAGCUGUCCAAACACCUUAUCUUUUCAUCUCUGACCAUUUCUUCAGAGUCGACUAUGAGCAGAAAUCACCCAGACACCCCACAGGAAUUUGUGGAAGUUCAAACUUAAGAAUGAUGAUUUAGGGUGUCUGAUGGAAGACAUUUUUAAGCAGGAAAGCAUUCAAGGUGUGGCCUCACUGCUUCUAUACUCAGAUCCAGGAGCAAAGAAAUGACUUAAAGCUGGAAUUUAUGUUUAAACAGGAAGCAGACCAGAAAAAUUUGGAAAAUUUGCAGUCUGGCCAUGUGACAAAGAAAGAAAAAAGCUUUUUCCAGGAGAAGAAUUUGAGCAGGCUGUGGAGCAAACACUUGCUAGAGAGUUGCAUAAUUAAAAUGAAAGCCAGAUGCUGAUAGCCAAGACAAUGGGGAAAAGGCCUUACAUGCAUUCCAGAGAUCUCCAUGGCAGUCCAUCACAUCACAGACCUUGAGGCCUAAGAGAGAAGAAUGCUUUUGAGGGCCAGGACUUUACUGCUCCACACAGCCCGGGGACACUGCUCCCCACAUCCUGGCCACUUCAGCAGCAGUCUCAACUCAGAAGACCCCCGAUACAGCUCAGGCUACUGCUUCAGAGGGUGCAAGCUAUAAGCCUCGGAAACUUCCAUGUGGUGUUAAGCCUAUGGGCAUGCAGAGUGCAAGAGUGAUGGCUUGGCAUUCUCUGCCUAUAUUUCAGAGGACGUAUGAGAAAGCCUGGGUGUUUAGGCAGAAGCCUGCUGCAGGGGUGGAGCCAUCACAGAGAACCUCUCCUAGGGCAGUGCCAAGUGGAAAUGUGGGGUUGGACCCCCACACAGUCUUCAAUGGGGUACUUUCUAGAGGAGCUGUAAGAAGGAACCAUCAUCUUCCAGAUUCCAGAAUAGUGGAUCCACUGGCAUCUUGCACUCUGUGCCUGGGAAAAUUGUAGGCACUUAACCCCAACCCCUGAAAGCAGCUGUGGGGGCUGUACCCUGCAGAGAUGCAGGGACAGAGUUUGCCCAAGACCUUGGGAGCCUACCCCCUGCACCAGUGUACCCUGGAUGUGGGACACAUAGUCAAAGGGGAUUAUUUUUGAGGUUUAAGAUUUAACGACUGCCCUGGUAGAUUUCAAACUCAUGUGGGGCAUGUAACCUCUUUCUUUUGGCCAAGUUACCCCUUUGGGGAUGGGAAUGCCUGUACCACAAUGCCUGUACCCCAAUUGUGUCUUGAAGUAAAUAACUUGUUUUUGAUUUUACAGGCUCAUAGGUGGAAAAGACUUGCCUUGCCUCAGAUGAGAACUUGGACUUGGGACUUUUGAGUUAAUGCUGAAAUGAGUUAAGGCUUUGGAGGACUAUUGGGAAGGCAUGAUGGUAUUUUGCAAUGUGAGAAAAACAUGAGAUUUGGGGCUUGUCCUGGGGUGGAAUGAUAUAGUUUGGAUGUUUGUCCCUGCCAAAUCUCAUGCAAUUUUAAUUCCCGUUGCUGGUGGUGGGACCUAAUGGGAGGCAUUUGGGCCAGGGGGACAGAUACCUCAUGGCUUGGUGCUAUCCUUGCAAUAGUGAGUGAGUACUCAUGAGAUCUUGCUGUUUAAGGAUGUUGCACCUCCCCCACAACUCUCUCUCUUGCUUCUGCUUUGCCAUGUGAUGUGGAAGCUCCCACUUUUUAACUUUUGCCAAGAGUAAAGGCUCCCUGGGGCCUCCCCAGAAGCUGAAUGGAUGAUAGCACCAUGCUUGUACAGCUUGCAUUAAAGCUUGUGAACCCA
rnacentral:lncRNA from 10 species